rnacentral:rRNA from 1 species
CAGCCGUAAACGAUGCGCGUUAGGUGUAUCGACGACCACGAGUCGUCGAGGUGCCGAAGGGAAACCGUGAAACGUGCCGCCUGGGAAGUACGGUCGCAAGGCUGAAACUUAAAGGAAUUGGCGGGGGAGCACCACAACAGGUGGAGCCUGCGGUUUAAUUGGACUCAACGCCGGAAAUCUCACCGGAUAAGACAGCAGAAUGAUUGCCGGGCUGAAGACUCUGCAUGACUAGCUGAGAGGUGGUGCAUGGCGUCAGUGACU